rnacentral:rRNA from 1 species
AACAAGUACCGUGAGGGAAAGAUGAAAAGAACUUUGAAAAGAGAGUUAAAAAGUGCGUGAAACCGUUAGAGGGGAAACGGAUGCAGUUAGCAAUGCUUCUGCGAGAUUCAGGCGGUCACUCGGCAAGACGUGCGUGUAGCGGAUCUGAAUGGACUGUUUAUGCACGGCCAGGUCUUGUGUCCGUCGCACUUCUCGUUGGAGUGCGUCAACAGCUGCUAGUCAUGCACUAAACGGCCUCGUGGAAGGUAGGCAGUUGGUUCGCCAACUGCUGUUAUAGCCACGGGUGUCCCAGUGCAAGUUCUGGCAGAGGUGAGCGGUGCAUGCUCUCUCUCGGGAGGGCUGGCGUCCUGUUACGUUCUCGUAGUCGAUCGGCUCGCACUGCGUGCAGUGCUAGUUGGCAGGUGAAAAGGCGUGCAGUCAACGUACACGAUGCACCAUGGUUGUUGGCGGCAAUAUGGCUUUAUCCGACCCGUCUUGAAACACGGACCAAGGAGUCUAACAUGUGCGCAAGUCUUGGGGUGACUGAAACCCAAAGGCGCAAUGAAAGUAAAGGCUGCUUGCAGCUGAGGUGAGAUCCUUGCUCUCGAGUGAGGCGCAUCAUCGACCGACCUAUUCUACUCUUAGAAAGGUUUGAGUAUGAGCGUACAUGC